ensembl:lncRNA
CGGAGCUAAAGCUAAAAACACUUUGUUAAAAUGUCCAAAGGCCAAACGCUGAGAGCUUUGGUGAAUGAGCGGCUGACUGCGGCUGCUGAAGAGAUCUUUGCGCUGUUUGAAAGAACGAUAGCGGAGUAUGAGGAGGAACUGUGUCGCUCCAAAGAGGAGAACCAGAGGAACCAGGACACUCAGACUUCACGGAUUAAAGAGGAGCCAGAGGAGCCACAGGAGCCACAAGAACAGAGCGUCAAACAGGAGGAAGACACAGCACAGUUGAGACCAGCGACCCAUACGACACGGCAAAGUGAACCGGCCCAGUGCACUAAUAGCUUGCUGGUGAAAGUGUCGUUCCGAGGAGUCAAACGGCUUGUCCCGGUGGCUCGUAUCAGUGGCUCCUAUUACUUUCCUGCUUUUCUUCAAGAAGUGGCCCACAGAUUCCGUUUGUCCGAACCACUGGACAAACUGUGUGUGACGGACGAGACGGGGACUGAGGUUGAUGAGGACGUGUUUGACGACCUGCUGCGGUCAGGGGUCCAACAACUCGUGGUCCACUGCCCCUGGCCUAUCACAGAUGACACCUCUGUGACCCUGGACUUCGCUGGUGCAGAUUCUCUCAUGUCUCCGACUCCGUCACUGCUGGAAAACAUUACAUCACUUUUGUCUAAUGAGCCCGCCGUCGUACAGCCUGCCCCGAAGAAGAGAAAGGAGCCGCCCACAGACAUGGACCGCACUGAAGCCCAACAGACUGUUCUAAGUGCUCUGAAGUCUCAUCCUAAAGGAAGUAGUAUACUACGAGAGUACUGCAAAACCAAAAGGCUGUCGGACAGAACACGUCGGCUGAUGGUCAACAUCCUGGUCACUGCGAUGACCGAGUCGUACGGAAAACAGCCUCCACGAAGCAUCAGGACGGCGUUCGCCAGAGGCAUCGUGGCCUUGUUUCCAAAUCUACAAGACCCGUUCUCCAGGAGCGGAUUUGAGCACUUUUACGAUCCCGUCGGAAACAGCGGGUACCUGGCGUGGAGGCUCAAGACCGUCCAGCGUAAAACCUCUGAGUACAGACGGAUCAAAAAAACACAACCCCUACAGCUCCAGUGCAGCCCCACCACUCUGCGGAUCCCCCUAGUGUCUGAAGACCAGCUCUAUGGAGAGGCGUGCACACAGGCCCUUUCAGAGCUCACACAGUCCAGGGACAGAGUUGUGGUCAGAGACACGAUGAAGGCCACGUUUAAAUACAGACAGGAAGCGCUCCGCAACCGACAGGAAGUCUCCGUCUUUGACUCGUUCCCUCGUUUCCUGGAUACGCCUGGAUUAAUAGAACAAGACUUCUCCCUGCUGUUUGGUGAGGAGAUUUCGGUAAAGUUUAUUUCCAAGUGGCCUCUGCUCUUCAAGCCCAAAGUGAUUUCCGAAUGCCAAAAGAUUCCAAACCUGUACACCUGCGAACUGCUGUCCUCCCUGAACUCCUGCCCCGAGAGUGACCAGUGCUGGGACAGUGAUGUCACGUCUCUCCUGCUGCUGCUCCAUCUUCUUCCUCCGACUCCGAAAGGACCAAAGAAAAUGACCAAGAUCAGCUCUGCUCAGGCGGCCGGACGCCUCUUCAAAUUCGUGAAAAAGGGCAGAAGUGUGUCCUCGUUCCUGGAGACGGUGGAGCAGAGGCAUCCGUUCCUCCUCUGUGUUGGAGAGCAGAAGAAGCAGAUAGAGACGUUCUUUGUGGUUGUGGACCAAACAGCCAUACCCUGUGCCGCGGAGACGACUUUAGCUGCGUUUGACACUCUCUUUAAAGCUCACUACGUCUUCUGCGUCCCCUACGACCCAGCGCUGGUGGGCUUCUACACGUUCAUCCAAACCACCGUCUACAACAUCGACGUAGGACUUACAAAGGAAACGCCACGGGUCAGAGAGCUACGGGCGCGG